GACAGAGGAUGCAGGCAUUAUCCGAAAUGAUUGGGUGCAAAGCGUCUAUAGGUGGCUUUUCAAGUCCGCCGUCAAAUCCCAGGGCUCAACCCUGGACAGGCGGUGGAAACUACCAAGCUGGAGUAUGGUAGGGGCAGAGGGAAUUUCCGGUGGAGCGGUGAAAUGCAUUGAGAUCGGAAAGAACACCAACGGCGAAAGCACUCUGCUGGGCCGACACUGACACUGAGAGACGAAAGCUAGGGGAGCAAAUGGG
rnacentral:rRNA from 1 species